GGAUUCAUUUCGCUGCAGAACUCGCUCGUGUCAGGUUGAUUGAGCGGCUGAAACCGAUGGCUGGCUGGCUGGCUGGCUGGCGAAGCGGAAAAGGGCCAGUUGGCCAGAGGUUUGCCCAUCUCAGUUGCCAAGUCCUAGCUCCCAAUCAAUAUUCGGAGCAACAGCCGGCGGCCAGGCUUUAAGUUGAGCGAUGAUGACAGCUGCGGUGGCGACCACUUAAAGUCGCCGGCGGCCAAAAACACCGGAAGCAGCUAAGCGGAAAUUGGAAAAAACCCCCCUCAUCGAGCUGGAAACACUUCGUCUGGCAUUUCCGCGGCACACACAGUUGUUCGUCGUCAGCGGUGGUGAACGGAGUGGAGCGGAGCGGUUCGGAGUGAAACGGGGUAUUUGGGUGAAGGCCAAAGGAUGUGCCCACCCCCCUCCCGGAAUCAGUACCCUAUCACUCAACCCAAAUGUGAAAGAAAGGAAAAUUGGAAGCCCUAUGCGGAUAGGAGGAUAGUAUGGCUGCGAGAAAGACCUCUCAAUUAGGCCAUAUAACUGCUAUCAAUCGCGUGAAAUGUCAAAUCAACCAGCUACUUCAGCCCCCCUCCCACCACACAAAAAAGAGAACUAUCCAGCAAAUUAAGCGUUCCGCGUCUGUUAAUUGAAGUGCCUGGAAGGCAAACAGAUCGAGUGACUGGAACUGGAGAUUGGAAUUUUAUUCGGGUUGAGGCGCUAAUUGAAAAGGACACACACACACACACACACACAUGGACAGAACUUGGGCACCGACUGAGACGGUGCAGCUGGGAAAACGCUUUAACUUCCGGCGGAAGUAGAUGAGGAGCUACUAGAGCUACUGCAGCUCCUUGCCAUGCAUCAGCAUCCUUUGCCAUGCAUCAGCGAGCUGUGAGCAUGUUUGCGCCGAAGAUUAAAAGCAUGUGUCCGGUUUUAUGUGCCACGCCCCCACACCCCAACCCACGUCUGGCAGGAUGGGGAGCGAUGGGCGGAAUUUAUAACCGUAAAAGUGCAACAGUGAAAAAAGCAACGAGACAGGACGAUGGGGCAGGCAGCCCAACCAGCUGGCUGGUUUAUGCUACAUGGCAACGUUUUACGGGGCAGAGAGAUAAGUCCUCUGGCAUCCUUUUUGGCAUGGCUAGGACGGCGAGGUUGGCAUGGCAUGGCAGCAGGAUCUGCAGGAGUUGCUCCGCGUUUUGUUGCAUAGUUUUGAUUUAUUGCAGAGCAGAGAAGAGCAGGACACAGAAGAGCGAGGCAGAGCAGAGCAGCGCAGAGCAAAGACAGCUACAGCGAAUUCCAUUUGAAAAUUCAUAACGUGCAGCAGCGAGACGGGACCGCCCGGCGAACGUGAAUGGCAUGGAAGGUGGAAAAUGGAGCUUGGUACCACUUCCUCCGCUUCCUCCACUUCCACCACUUCCAUCCAGGAACCCAGUUUAUAUCCGCAAUAUCAGGGCAUUAUAUUACCAGAGACAGGCCAUGACUAGAACUGGGACUUGAAUUCGGAUUCGGAUGCGGAUACAGAGCUAAUUUUAAAUGCCUCGCUUGGCAUUUGGCCCUGAAUGUGAUUUGGCAAAAAUACCUAAACAACAUUGCCACUUGAAAUCCACGGAAACCCAACGGAAAACUCUGGAGUGGACUCUACUCGAACGAACUGGCGAGUAAAUCAAUUAGCAAGUUUGCAACUAAAAACCGUUUGAAAAAUAUUUUAAAGGCGGCAAAGGGUUUUUCAGUUUUAGUUUAUUCUUUGUGCGAACUAAAGGGGCCUCUUCUGGAGCUGCGUUGAUUGUUGAAUUAUUUAUACGGACCGCAUCCUACAUACAUUUUGGUGUGUGCUCGGCUGAUUUAUAUAUACAUAUGCGUCAUGCAAAUGAAUUAUGCACAUGAGUUGGCAGACAGCAGCCAGCAGCCAAGGGCUUCUCUUCAGUUUUAGUUUUUGGCUUUUCAUUUGCUCCUCCGCCAGCUGUUGUUCAACACCUUCCCCCGAAAAGUCGUGAGAAGCGUUUUGCUAGCCAUUUAGUCAUUUUGGAUGGGUAACUUUUCACAGCUGCGCGAAUGAUUGAAUGAUUGAUUGAUUGAUGCGCGUAAUCGAAACGUGGGGUAAGUAUCCUCGUAUGUAUAAAGAAAAGUGUGCAAAUCAGUGGAUUAACUGGGCUGACCCGAGGGUUGGCCGGUGCAUUCGUACCCUUAUCAUUCUCUCGCCCCGUGUGCACUUAAAGACAACUGGACGGAGAACUGAUAAGGGCUCGUAUCACCAAUUCAUCAAACCAAUACCCAUUGAAUCGACAGGAAUUCGGCGAGUCAAAGAGGAGCU
ensembl:ncRNA lncRNA:CR44206 long non-coding RNA:CR44206